GUCUACGACCAUACCAACCUGAACAAGCCCAAUCCCGUCUGAUCUCAGAAACUAAGUAAGGUCAGGCUUGGUUAGUACUUGGACGGGAGACCACCUAGGAAACCAGGUGCUGUAGGUG
rnacentral:rRNA from 1 species